UACGUAGGAUGCAAGCGUUGUCCGGAAUUAUUGGGCGUAAAGAGCGCGCAGGCGGUCUAUCAAGUCAGAUGUCGAAAUAUCCGGGCUUAACCCGGAGGGGUCAUUUGAAACUGGAUAGAGCUAGAGUACAGCGAGAGGAGUAGCGGAAAUUCCCGGUGUAGUGGUGAAAUGCGUAGAUAUCGGGAGGAACACCAGUGGCGAAGGCGGCUAUCUGGGCUGAAACUGACGACUGAGGCGGCGAAAGGCUAGGGGAGCAAACAGG
rnacentral:rRNA from 1 species